rnacentral:rRNA from 1 species
UGGGGAAUCUUGGACAAUGGGCGCAAGCCUGAUCCAGCCAUGCCGCGUGAGCGAUGAAGGCCUUAGGGUUGUAAAGCUCUUUCACCGGUGAAGAUAAUGACGGUAGCCGGAGAAGAAGCCCCGGCUAACUUCGUGCCAGCAGCCGCGGUAAUACGAAGGGGGCUAGCGUUGUUCGGAAUUACUGGGCGUAAAGCGCACGUAGGCGGACCAGAAAGUUGGGGGUGAAAUCCCGGGGGCUCAACCCCGGAACUGCCUCCAAAACUAUUGGUCUAGAGUUCGAGAGAGGUGAGUGGAAUUCCAAGUGUAGAGGUGAAAUUCGUAGAUAUUUGGAGGAACACCAGUGGCGAAGGCGGCUCACUGGCUCGAUACUGACGCUGAGGUGCGAAAGUGUGGGGAGCAAACAGGAUUAGAUACCCUGGUAGUCCACACCGUAAAACGAUGAAUGCCAGUCGUCGGGUAGCAUGCUAUUCGGUGACACACCUAACGGAUUAAGCAUU